CAGUCGCCGCGGGAAUACGAAGGGGGCUAGCGUUGCUCGGAAUGACUGGGCGUAAAGGGCGCGUAGGCAGCGAUCAAAGUCAGGCGUGAAAUUCCUGGGCUCAACCUGGGGGCUGCGCUUGAUACUUGGUUGCUUGAGUGGGGAAGAGGGUCGUGGAAUUCCCAGUGUAGAGGUGAAAUUCGUAGAUAUAGGAAGGAACACCAGUGGCGAAGGCGACCACCUGGGCUCAUACUGACACUGAGGUGCGAAAGCGUGGGGAGCAAACAGGAUUAGAUACCCGCGUAGUCCCUGUCUCUUAUAC
rnacentral:rRNA from 1 species